CUACGGGCUGCACCAGUGGGGAAUCUUGGACAAUGGGCGCAAGCCUGAUCCAGCCAUGCCGCGUGAGUGAAGAAGGCCUUAGGGUCGUAAAGCUCUUUCGCCAGGGAUGAUAAUGACAGUAUCUGGUAAAGAAACCCCGGCUAACUCCGUGCCAGCAGCCGCGGUAAUACGGAGGGGGUUAGCGUUGUUCGGAAUUACUGGGCGUAAAGCGCGCGUAGGCGGAUUAGUCAGUCAGAGGUGAAAUCCCAGGGCUCAACCCUGGAACUGCCUUUGAUACUGCUAGUCUUGAGUUCGAGAGAGGUGAGUGGAAUUCCGAGUGUAGAGGUGAAAUUCGUAGAUAUUCGGAGGAACACCAGUGGCGAAGGCGGCUCACUGGCUCGAUACUGACGCUGAGGUGCGAAAGUGUGGGGAGCAAACAGGAUUAGAUACCCGAGUAGUC
rnacentral:rRNA from 1 species